rnacentral:rRNA from 1 species
CGCGGCCUAUCAGCUUGUUGGUGGGGUGAAGGCCUACCAAGGCGAUUACGGGUAGCCGGCCUGAGAGGGCGACCGGCCACACUGGGACUGAGACACGGCCCAGACUCCUACGGGAGGCAGCAGUGGGGAAUAUUGCGCAAUGGGCGGAAGCCUGACGCAGCGACGCCGCGUGGGGGAUGACGGCCUUCGGGUUGUAAACCUCUUUUACCACCGACGCAGGCCCGUGCUUCUGUGCGGGUUGACGGUAGGUGGGGAAUAAGGACCGGCCAACUACGUGCCAGCAGCCGCGGUAAUACGUAGGGUCCGAGCGUUGUCCGGAAUUAUUGGGCGUAAAGAGCUCGUAGGCGGCGUGUCGCGUCUGCUGUGUAAGUCCGGGGCUUAACUCCGGUUUGGCAGUGGAUACGGGCAUGCUAGAGGUAGGCAGGGGAGACUGGAAUUCCUGGUGUAGCGGUGAAAUGCGCAGAUAUCAGGAGGAACACCGGUGGCGAAGGCGGGUCUCUGGGCCUUACCUGACGCUGAGGAGCGAAAGCGUGGGGAGCGAACAGGAUUAGAUACCCUGGUAGUCCACGCUGUAAACGUUGGGCGCUAGGUGUGGGGACUUUCCACGGUUUCCGUGCCGUAGCUAACGCAUUAAGCGCCCCGCCUGGGGAGUACGG